GACGAACGCUGGCGGCGUGCUUAACACAUGCAAGUCGAACGGUAAGGCCCUUCGGGGUACACGAGUGGCGAACGGGUGAGUAACACGUGGGUGAUCUGCCCUGCACUUCGGGAUAAGCCUGGGAAACUGGGUCUAAUACCGGAUAGGACUCCUGGCUUCAUGGUUGGGGGUGGAAAGCUUUUGCGGUGUGGGAUGGGCCCGCGGCCUAUCAGCUUGUUGGUGGGGUAAUGGCCUACCAAGGCGACGACGGGUAGCCGGCCUGGGAGGGUGACCGGUCACACUGGGACUGAGAUACGGCCCAGACUCCUACGGGAGGCAGUAGUGGGGAAUAUUGCACAAUGGGCGCAAGCCUGAUGCAGCGACGCCGCGUGAGGGAUGACGGCCUUCGGGUUGUAAACCUCUUUCAGCUAUGACGAAGCGCAAGUGACGGUAGUAGCAGAAGAAGGACCGGCCAACUACGUGCCAGCCGCCGCAGUAA
rnacentral:rRNA from 1 species